UGGGGAAUAUUGGACAAUGGGCGAAAGCCUGAUCCAGCAAUACCGCGUGAAUGAUGAAGGCCUUAGGGUUGUAAAGUUCUUUUAGUUGGGAAGAUAAUGACGGUACCAACAGAAAAAGCCCCGGCUAACUCCGUGCCAGCAGCCGCGGUAAGACGGAGGGGGCUAGCGUUGUUCGGAAUUACUGGGCGUAAAGGGCGCGUAGGCGGAUUAGUAAGUUGGGAGUGAAAGCCCGGGGCUUAACCUCGGAACUGCUUUCAAAACUGCUAGUCUAGAGUGAAGUAGGGGGUGAUGGAAUUCCUAGUGUAGAGGUGAAAUUCUUAGAUAUUAGGAGGAACACCGGUGGCGAAGGCGGUCACCUGGACUUCAACUGACGCUGAGGCGCGAAAGCGUGGGGAGCAAACAG
rnacentral:rRNA from 1 species